GACGAACGCUGGCGGCAUGCUUAACACAUGCAAGUCGAACGGAAAGGCCCUGCUUUUGUGGGGUGCUCGAGUGGCGAACGGGUGAGUAACACGUGAGUAACCAGCCCUUGACUUUGGGAUAACUUCAGGAAACUGGGGCUAAUACCGGAUAGGAGCUCCUGCUGCAUGGUGGGGGUUGGAAAGUUUCGGCGGUUGGGGAUGGACUCGCGGCUUAUCAGCUUGUUGGUGGGGUAGUGGCUUACCAAGGCUUUGACGGGUAGCCGGCCUGAGAGGGUGACCGGCCACAUUGGGACUGAGAUACGGCCCAGACUCCUACGGGAGGCAGCAGUGGGGAAUAUUGCACAAUGGGCGGAAGCCUGAUGCAGCAACGCCGCGUGCGGGAUGACGGCCUUCGGGUUGUAAACCGCUUUCGCCUGUGACGAAGCGUGAGUGACGGUAAUGGGUAAAGAAGCACCGGCUAACUACGUG
rnacentral:rRNA from 1 species